rnacentral:rRNA from 1 species
UACGUAGGGCGCAAGCGUUACUCGGAAUCACUGGGCAUAAAGGGCGUGUAGGCGGAAGCGUAAGUCCGGUGUGAAAUCCCCCGGCUCAACCGGGGACUGUCAUCGGAUACUGCGCAUCUGGAGUGCGGGAAGGGAGAGCGGAACUCUUGGUGGAGCGGUGAAAUGCGUAGAUAUCAAGAGGAACGCCGGUGGCGAAAGCGGCUCUCUGGCCCGUUACUGACGCUGAGGCGCGAAAGCUAGGGGAGCAAACGGG